AGCUCGGGAAGCCAUAGACGCUGUUUGCUUCCCCCAUCCGAGCGUCCGUUGCCUUUUCCUUUACCUUUCCCGUUGGCUUUGUUCUUGUCUUUUCCACUGGAAUUCUUCUGUCGUCCGUCCGCAUAGUGAAUUUGAGUGAAUUGAGUAGCUAAUCGUUUGGCAGCGUUGACAUAGCUUUCCAUGUAUGAGCUCCCCUUAUGAAGGUCACGCCAUUUUUGCUCCAGAAAGUCCUCUUGAGCAGCAGUUUAGGAGAUAUACUGAGUCUCGAGACUGACCCACGCUUCAUUCGAGGUUGAGGCAGAGAGAAUGCUGCAGCCGAUGUCUUCAGUGACCGCAAGCAUGAGACAGGAACACGGCCCUCGACACAGUCAAGGAGACUGUAGGUGUCGAGCAGAGGGCUCAUGAUGCCCUUCCAGAACGAAAAAUUCCGUCCAUUUAGCGUUACUGGAACGGUGGGCAAAGAAGAAGGAAGAGAGUCUGCAGAAUUUUCCAUUGAAGGAGGAAGCCGUUCAGAGAAAAGCGGAAGCUGAUCGGGGCUGUUCAAGGCCGACAGAGGUAGGAUAAUGGGCUGAACAGGACCGAAAAGGGGUUUACGAGAGUUACCCGAUUUUAGGGCUCUGAUACCAUAAAGACAAAGGUACCAAUGGUUGAAUUCCUCACUCGAGAUGAUUUUCAUUAGAAUAUAUAGUCGUAUACAAUAUUCUAUCUAUCACAACUAUCUAUACAUGACUAAAAUAAGUCAUACAUAAAAUAUAAUGACCGAUUAACUAGAAUCUUUUGACUACUAUUAGGAACGACAAUGUAUGCAGAUAAUGCUGAUUCAAUUUUAUUUUGCUGGCAAUCUUAUGAGCAAUUUCCAUGGGUAUUAGAAUGUUGCUCUCUCCCGCAGGUUUUAAGCAUGUUACGGGAAUUUGAUGUGUCAACUGCAAAAA